AAAUUUUAAUGUAAACUUAAAUGCUAAUCUGCAGAGGUACAGCUCUACAGAAUAAGAUUACAAUCUUAAUUAGAGAGUAAAUUUAUAUAAUAACCAUAGUUGGCCUAAAAGCAGCCACCAAUUAAGAAAGCGUUCAAGCUCAACAACAAAAUUUAUUCUUAAUUCAAAAAAUAGUAUAAACUCCUAAUUUAAACACUGGGUUAUUCUACUAGCCUGUAGAAGAAAUACUGUUAAUAUGAGUAACAAGAUUUAAUAUCUCCAAACACACAUGUAUGUCAGCCCGAAUCCCAACUGACAGUUAACAAUUUGAUAAAUGUAUAUAUUAAAUUAAUAAUUUUCCAUUAUAUUGUUAAUCCAACACUGGGGUGUACAUAAGGAAAGAUUAAAAAAAGUAAAAGGAACUCGGCAAACAUAAACCCCGCCUGUUUACCAAAAACAUCACCUCUAGCAUUACCAGUAUUAGAGGCACUGCCUGCCCAGUGACAUUAGUUAAACGGCCGCGGUAUCCUGACCGUGCAAAGGUAGCAUAAUCAUUUGUUCCUUAAUUAGGGACUUGUAUGAAUGGCCCCACGAGGGUUUAACUGUCUCUUACUUUUAAUCAGUGAAAUUGACCUUCCCGUGAAGAGGCGGGAAUACAAAAAUAAGACGAGAAGACCCUAUGGAGCUUAAAUUAAUAUGUUCAACAGAAUUAAAUAAUAAUCCAAUAGGAAUAAAAUAUUCUAACUGAACAAUAAAUUUUGGUUGGGGUGACCUCGGAGUAUAACAUAACCUCCGAGCAAUUAAACCAAGACUUACCAGUCAAGGCCAUAUAACUUAUUGAUCCAAUCUUAUUGAUCAACGAAACAAGUUACCCUAGGGAUAACAGCGCAAUCCUAUUUAAGAGUUCAUAUCGACAAUAGGGUUUACGACCUCGAUGUUGGAUCAGGACACCCAAAUGGUGCAGCAGCUAUUAAAGGUUCGUUU
rnacentral:rRNA from 1 species